rnacentral:rRNA from 1 species
AUUGAACGCUGGCGGCAUGCUUUACACAUGCAAGUCGAACGGUAACAGGCCGCAAGGUGCUGACGAGUGGCGAACGGGUGAGUAAUGCAUCGGAACGUGCCCAGUCGUGGGGGAUAACGCAGCGAAAGCUGUGCUAAUACCGCAUACGAUCUAUGGAUGAAAGCGGGGGACCGUAAGGCCUCGCGCGAUUGGAGCGGCCGAUGUCAGAUUAGGUAGUGGGUGGGGUAAAGGCACACCAAGCCCACGAUCUGUAGCUGGUCUGAGGGGACGACCAGCCACACUGGGACUGAGACACGGCCCAGACUCCUACGGGAGGCAGCAGUGGGGAAUUUUGGACAAUGGGCGCAAGCCUGAUCCAGCAAUGCCGCGUGCAGGAAGAAGGCCUUCGGGUUGUAAACUGCUUUUGUACGGAACGAAAAGGUCUGGGUUAAUACCCUGGGCCGAUGACGGUACCGUAAGAAUAAGCACCGGCUAACUACGUGCCAGCAGCCGCCGUAA